GACGAACGCUGGCGGCGUGCCUAAUACAUGCAAGUAGAACGCUGAAGGAGGAGCUUGCUUCUCUGGAUGAGUUGCGAACGGGUGAGUAACGCGUAGGUAACCUGCCUGGUAGCGGGGGAUAACUAUUGGAAACGAUAGCUAAUACCGCAUAAUAGUAGAUGUUGCAUGACAUUUGCUUAAAAGGUGCAAUUGCAUCACUACCAGAUGGACCUGCGUUGUAUUAGCUAGUUGGUGAGGUAACGGCUCACCAAGGCAACGAUACAUAGCCGACCUGAGAGGGGGAUUGGCCACCCUGGGACUGAGACACGGCCCAGACUCCUACGGGAGGCAGCAGGAGGGAAUCUUCGGCAAUGGACGGAAGUCUGACCGAGCAACGCCGCGUGAGUGAAGAAGGUUUUCGGAUCGUAAAGCUCUGUUGUAAGAGAAGAACGAGUGUGAGAGUGGAAAGUUCACACUGUGACGGUAGCUGACCAGAAAGGGACGGCUAACUACGUG
rnacentral:rRNA from 1 species